rnacentral:rRNA from 1 species
CCUACGGGUGGCUGCAGUGGGGAAUCUUGCGCAAUGGACGAAAGUCUGACGCAGCAACGCCGCGUGAGUGAAGAAGGCCUUCGGGUUGUAAAGCUCUGUCAAGCGAGACGAAGGUGCAUACGCUAAUAUCGUAUGCAUUUGACGGUACCGCUGGAGGAAGCACCGGCUAACUCUGUGCCAGCAGCCGCGGUAAUACAGAGGGUGCAAGCGUUGCUCGGAAUCAUUGGGCGUAAAGGGCAAGUAGGUGGUCUGAUUUGUCUGGGGUGAAAGCCUUG